rfam:Bradyrhizobium erythrophlei strain GAS478 genome assembly, contig: Ga0132009_11
CAGUGGGUGCGAGCCCCACCCGGCAACCGCUCCAGCCGGAAGCAAUCGGAGCAGUCAUGGAGGUAACGAAGUGGCUGAAGCCUUCGAUUAGCGUGUCACGAAUUGGUGACAGCGCGAGUGUGAACCACUAAGGCACCGCCAGACGA